rnacentral:sRNA from 1 species
GACUAGAGGUCAUGUGUAUGAUUGAGUAUAAGAAGUAGAACCACAACUGGAUCCCAAAAGCUAAAGUAGUGUUUACUUGUUAGAAGAUACGAAGC